rnacentral:rRNA from 2 species
GUAAAGAGCUCGUAGGUGGUUUGUCGCGUUGUUCGUGAAAUCUCACGGCUUAACUGUGAGCGUGCGGGCGAUACGGGCAGACUUGAGUACUGCAGGGGAGACUGGAAUUCCUGGUGUAGCGGUGGAAUGCGCAGAUAUCAGGAGGAACACCGGUGGCGAAGGCGGGUCUCUGGGCAGUAACUGACGCUGAGGAGCGAAAGCGUGGGGAGCGAACAGGAUUAGAUACCCUGGUAGUCCACGCCGUAAACGGUGGGUACUAGGUGUGGGUUUCCUUCCUUGGGAUCCGUGCCGUAGCUAACGCAUUAAGUACCCCGCCUGGGGAGUACGGCCGCAAGGCUAAAACUCAAAGAAAUUGACGGGGGCCCGCACAAGCGGCGGAGCAUGUGGAUUAAUUCGAUGCAACGCGAAGAACCUUACCUGGGUUUGACAUGCACAGGACGCCGGCAGAGAUGUCGGUUCCCUUGUGGCCUGUGUGCAGGUGGUGCAUGGCUGUCGUCAGCUCGUGUCGUGAGAUGUUGGGUUAAGUCCCGCAACGAGCGCAACCCUUGUCUCAUGUUGCCAGCGGGUAAUGCCGGGGACUCGUGAGAGACUGCCGGGGUCAACUCGGAGGAAGGUGGGGAUGACGUCAAGUCAUCAUGCCCCUUAUGUCCAGGGCUUCACACAUGCUACAAUGGCCGGUACAAAGGGCUGCGAUGCCGCGAGGUUAAGCGAAUCCUUUUAAAGCCGGUCUCAGUUCGGAUCGGGGUCUGCAACUCGACCCCGUGAAGUCGGAGUCGCUAGUAAUCGCA